AAUCAACGCUGGCGGCGUGCCUAACACAUGCAAGUCGAACGCGAAAGUCCCGCAAGGGAUUAGUAGAGUGGCAAACGGGUGAGUAACACGUGGGUGACCUGCCUUCGAGUGGGGGAUAACGUCCCGAAAGGGACGCUAAUACCGCAUAACAUCCUGCCUUUGAAGAGGUGGAGAUCAAAGCUGGGGACCGCAAGGCCUGGCGCUGGAAGAGGGGCCCGCGUCUGAUUAGCUAGUUGGNGAGGUAACGGCUCACCAAGGCAACGAUCAGUAUCCGGCCUGAGAGGGCGGACGGACACACUGGGACUGAGACACGGCCCAGACUCCUACGGGAGCAGCAGUGGGAAUUGUUCGCAAUGGGCGCAAGCCUGACGACGCAACGCCGCGUGGAGGAUGAAGACCU
rnacentral:rRNA from 1 species